rnacentral:rRNA from 1 species
ACACGACUACAUUAGAUACCCGCGUAGUCCUGGCCGUAAACGAUACUCGCUAGGUGUCGGCCACGGUGCGACCGUUGUCGGUGCCGUAGGGAAGCCGUGAAGCGAGCCACCUGGGAAGUACGGCCGCAAGGCUGAAACUUAAAGGAAUUGGCGGGGAGCACCACAACGGGUGGAGCUUGCGGUUUAAUUGGACUCAACGCCGGAAAACUCAUCGGGAGCGACAGCAGUAUGAUUGCCAGGUUGAUGACCUUGCUUGACAAGCUG